rnacentral:rRNA from 1 species
ACGGGAGGCAGCAGUGGGGAAUAUUGGACAAUGGGGGAAACCCUGAUCCAGCGACGCCGCGUGAGUGAAGAAGUAUUUCGGUAUGUAAAGCUCUAUCAGCAAGGAAGAAAAUGACGGUACUUGACUAAGAAGCCCCGGCUAACUACGUGCCAGCAGCCGCGGUAAUACGUAGGGGGCAAGCGUUAUCCGGAUUUACUGGGUGUAAAGGGAGCGUAGACGGCAUAGCAAGUCUGAAGUGAAAUGCAUAGGCUCAACCCAUGAACUGCUUUGGAAACUGUUAAGCUAGAGUGCAGGAGAGGUAAGUGGAAUUCCUAGUGUAGCGGUGAAAUGCGUAGAUAUUAGGAGGAACACCAGUGGCGAAGGCGGCUUACUGGACUGUAACUGACGUUGAGGCUCGAAAGCGUGGGGAGCAAACAGGAUUAGAUACCCUGGUA